AGGACGAACGCUGGCGGCGUUGCCUAAGCUUAUGCAAGUCGAACGCGAACGGCCCUUCGGGAGCCUAGUAGAGUGGCAAACGGGUGAGUAACGCGUGGGUAACGUACCCUGAUCCUGGGAAUAACCCUCGGAAACGAGGGCUAAUACCGAAUGUGGCGAACGACCGGUUGGUCGCUCGCUAAAGGUGGCCUCUUCUAUGCUGCCGGGUUGGGAUCGGCCCGCGUCCCAUUAGCUAGUUGGUGAGGUAACGGCUCACCAAGGCCACGAUGGGUAGCCGGCCUGAGAGGGUGUACGGCCACACUGGCACUGAGACAAGGGCCAGUCCCCUAUGGGAGGCGCAGGCGGGAAUAGUUCACAAUGGGCGAAAGCCUGAUGACGCGACGCCGCGUGAGCGAAGAAGACCUUCGGGUUGUAAAGCUCUGUCAGGAGGGAAGAAGGCUCUACGGGUCAAUAGCCCGUGGGAUUGACGGUACCUCCAGAGGAAGCCCCGGCUAAAUACGUGCCAGCAGCCGCGGUAAUACGUAUGGGGCAAGCGUUGUCCGGAUUUACUGGGCGUAAAGGGCGCGUAGGCGGUUUGUUAAGUCGAAGGUGAAAUCCUCGGGCUCAACUCGAGAAUUGCCUUCGAUACUGGCAAACUAGAGUGGCGGAGAGGAAAGCGGAACUCUUGGUGUAACGGUGGAAUGUGUAGAUCUCAAGAGGAACACCGGUGGCGAAGGCGGCUUUCUGGACGCACACUGACGCUCAGGCGCGAAAGCGUGGGUAGCAAACAGGAUUAGAUACCCUGGUAGUCCACGCCAUAAACGAUGGGUACUAGGUGUCGGGGGUAUCGACCCCUCCGGUGCCGCAGUUAACGCACUAAGUACCCCGCCUGGGGAUUUAUGGUCGCAAGGCUGAAACUCAAAGGAAUUGACGGGGCCCCGCUACAAGCGGUGGAGCUAUGUGGUUUAAUUCGUACGCAACGCGAAGAACCUUACCUGGGCUUGUACUAUGCUUGGGACAGCGCUGGAAACAGCGUCUCUCCUUCGGGAGCCCUUGCUACUAGGUGCUGCUAUGGCUGUCGUCUAGCUCGUGUCGUG
rnacentral:rRNA from 1 species